rnacentral:tRNA from 1 species
GGCUGUGGCUCAGUGGUAGUGCACUUGCCUGGCAUGUGUGAGGCACUGGGUUCGGUUCUCAGCACCA